GUAAUGCCGGAUGCUCCAGUUGAUCGCAUGGUCUUCUGGGAAAGCUUUCGCGGUAUGGGAUGGGGUCGCGUCCUAUCAGCUUGACGGCGGGGUAACGGCCCACCGUGGCUUCGACGGGUAGCCGGCCUGAGAGGGCGACCGGCCACAUUGGGACUGAGAUACGGCCCAGACUCCUACGGGAGGCAGCAGUGGGGAAUAUUGCACAAUGGGCGCAAGCCUGAUGCAGCGACGCCGCGUGAGGGAUGGAGGCCUUCGGGUUGUAAACCUCUUUUAUCGGGGAGCAAGCGAGAGUGAGUUUACCCGUUGAAUAAGCACCGGCUAACUACGUGCCAGCAGCCGCGGUAAUACGUAGGGUGCAAGCGUUAUCCGGAAUUAUUGGGCGUAAAGGGCUCGUAGGCGGUUCGUCGCGUCCGGUGUGAAAGUCCAUCGCUUAACGGUGGAUCCGCGCCGGGUACGGGCGGGCUUGAGUGCGGUAGGGGAGACUGGAAUUCCCGGUGUAACGGUGGAAUGUGUAGAU
rnacentral:rRNA from 1 species